CUGGGUUACAACUGCAUGCAGCUCUUAAGGACCCUCUCAAUGCACUUUUACAGGCAUGUUCAUCCAGGAUCCAUAACCCUGAUCCUGAUCCAAGACACUCCUCAGCUUCCAACCAGCCUCCUACCCUACUUCCUAGCAAUAACCGCCACUCAAGCCCCUUGUCCUAACCCUGGGAGAACUCGGGACCAUCAAGAGGAGCCCCUGGCAUUCCCUAGUCUGAGGCUCUCCAGGAGCAGUGUG
rnacentral:lncRNA from 1 species